GCCAUUCCGGGCCUCUCCCGUUCCCGUCCCUUCCAGCCAGCGCCGCUUCUUCCUUCGAACCCCGCACUACCGCUCGUUUAUACGCCAGCGACGCCGCCCCCAUCUCGUCUUCCUCUCCUCCUCAAGCAAAAGGCGAGCGCGAGAGAAACCUGAAGCCACUUCCCAGCCCGCUCCGCCCCUCGCCGCGAUUUCCUCACAUGGCAGCGCUGCUUCUCCGCGAGUCACUCGAGAGGAACGACGGCCCCUGCUUCUGCUUCUCCGACCCCUGUCCCUGCGCCGACACGCGUCGCCCCUGUUCCGAUCUCGCCGCCCCCGCCGCCGGUCCCUUCUCCUCCCUCCGCGUCCAUCGCACCUGCUCCUGAUCCCGCUCUCUUUCCUCCCUUCUCCCGCCGUUAUUUGUGAUUGCGGCUCUGAUUCUUGCUUCCACGGUCUGUCUCGCGGUUCCUGGGAGCUUCUGAGUUCUGGUUCUGUCCCUGACCGGUGUUGCCAUGGGGAAGAGCAAGAAGAGCAAGGCCCGCGGCGGCGGGGACGACCUGCUCGACAGCAGCGACGCCGACAGCGUCGGCUCCUCGUCCACCGCGCUGUCGGAUCUCUCCAUCUCGUAUGCCACCGAGCACGUCAACUCGCAGGAGUUCGUCCUCGACAAGUACAUCGACGCGCUCUACGAGAAGAGGGGGUCUACAAGAGAGGCAGCAUUGGUUAAACUGGUUGAUGCCUUUGAAAGUUUUAUGCUCCAUGGCCUUGUGGAGAAUAGGUAUGCCACACUGCUGAGUCAAUUCAAUAAUUCCAUCAAAAAGGGAUCUACUAAGGAGGUUUUUCUGGCAUCUCAUGCCAUUGGGUUAUUGGCUAUUACACUCGGUGCUGGGAGCAGUUCACGUGAAAUAAUGGAGGAGUCGCAUCCCCAACUCUGUAGGAUACUUCAAGCUUGGUCUGAUGCAUCAAAGAUGAUAUCUGCACUUGAUUGUUUGGCUAUCAUCACAUUUGUUGGCGCAACUGAUCUGGCUGAAACAGAGUUAUCUUUGAAAGCCAUGUGGGAUGUGAUUCAUCCAAAGUCUGGUUCAAAUCAGGUGGGAACUGUUCGGAAACCUAAGCCUCCUGUGUUAGCAGCUGCUCUAUCUGCAUGGACAUUUCUCCUGACUACUAUUGGUUCAUGGAGAAUAAAUACUGAUAGCUGGAAAGAGCCCAUUGCAUUUCUCUCCACUCUUUUGGAAGCAGAUGAUCGUGCUGUUCGAAUGGCUGCUGGUGAAGCAUUGGCUUUGUGCUUUGAGUUAAAUCUGCUUGAUGUUUCUUCUUGUGAGGAUGGCGAUGUUAACACGGGAGGAACUGGUGGUUCUAAGAACAAGCUUUUCUUGGAUAUGCAAGCAUUAAAAGCCAAAAUAUCAGGUCUGGCCUCUAAUCUCUCUGCUGAGGCUGGGGGGAAAGGUGCAGACAAGAAAAACCUUACUGACCAAAGAGACUUGUUUCAAAGGAUCUUAGAUUUUGUCAAGUAUGGUGACUGCCCUGAAGAAUCGAUCAAGAUUGCUGGAAAACGUGAUGUUUUAAGGGUGUCGUCAUGGUCUGAAUUAAUCCAGUUGAAUUUCUUAAAGCGGUUUCUGGGGAAGGGCUUUCUGAAGCAUGUUCAGGAGAAUGGACUUCUUCAGGAUAUCUUUGACAUUAAGGUUGACAAAGCUGAAACCCUGUCGUCCACUGAUAAGAAAAUCUUUAGGUCUGAAGAGGAAAAAGAAAGAGCUCUGAAAUUAAACAAGGAACGUCGUCUAGCCCAGGUAAGGAAGAAUGCCGUCAUGUUGGACGACUAACAUGGUCACUUGGGUGGGAAGAACCAUUCUGCGUCUCCUUUCAAACUACUCCGUAUUAUUACUGGCACAUUUCACUGGAGAUAGCACGAUUUAUGUUGAAGUUCAGCAUGAUUUGGCGGGAAUAGUCAAGAAUUACUUCGAAGUUCACUAGGCAGUUUUGUUCUGAGGCCCACCUCAUUCGAAGACGUUCUGUUGUUGCGUGACAGUUGCAUCAACUGUACCCAGCCCGUCGUCGACAAAUUGGCACGGCCUAGGACCGUCCCUUCCAUGGUUCAAGGCACACACCAAACUGUUACUACUGUAGUAACCAGUAUUGGAUUUAGAAGUUGUUUUACAUAAGGUUUGAGUUAAAUAUUGGAAAUCUAAAUCAUCAACAAUUUUAAAUUGUUAAGUUUGUAAAUGUAAAAAUUAUAUGAGUAGAUUUGUUUUGAAAAA